GCCCUCCUGGUUUCUUAUCCAUCAGAUCUACACACUGGUUUGUGUGGUUAUAAAAGGAGGAAAAGUAAAAUUGAAACUUGCGUAAAAUUUUUUGUGACAUACAGCUAAUCUCAAUAAUAA
rnacentral:snoRNA from 1 species